UGGAAGUUAUUCUGGAAAAUGGGGAAGCUGGAAUCCUUAGAGGAGCUGCCAACGUGCAUUUGCCUGAGUUCCUUCAGCAGUGGGGAAGAGAGGGAGAAUUCCAGACACGUCAUCCUGAUUUCACAGGCCUGCAGAGAUGUCCAGAGUGGACUGAUCCAUCUGUGGGAGGAACAAAGUCAUGGGAUCACAGGAGAUGUGGGAGCUCAGUGCUCCGUGGUCCAGAGAGCAAGUGGGAUGGUGGGAAUUAUUAGAGAAGAAAUAGAGGAAAACCACAAAAGACUUCUUGAUACCACUCUAAACCCAUCCCAUAUCUGUGAGGUUGCUCACAGAGCAAAACCUCCCUGCAGGAUCUGUUUUGUAAAUCUGCCAAAAGGUGAAGACAGCCACUUUAUCUGCGAGGGAAUAUUCAUUUAUGGGGCUUCAGUGGCGACAUAGAUUUGAAAAAAGGAAAAGAGUCUUAAAUCCUUCCUCAGGAGAGAGAUUUCCUUCCAGUUUUAUUCAGUGGGAUUGCUUUGAGUCUGUGAGUUCUCAGCUCAUGAAGAACUUCCUGGCUGGGGGGAUGAAGACAUUAAAGCCUUUGCCCACUCAGGGCAAUUGCUCUGGAGACAAACACAGCUCAGAAAACAAAUGUUCUGAGCUACCUGGGAGUUCUGGUUCACUGAACACAUGAAGAGCCAGAGAUCCUUCUGAACCUGCAAGUAAAAUUUAUUCUCAAGGUGGCAAAAUGUCUGGAGCCUCAUCUUGAAGAGCCUUGGAAGGGCCAAAAAGGUUCUUCCUUUUCCAGGUCACUGCCAGGUUUUAGAAGACGCAAUUUUUCAGCAUCUGAAGCAGGAAAUCCCAGCUCUUUUCCAUGAGAAGAAGCACAGGGAUGACAGGGCUUCCCCCCAGAACACUCCCGGGGUAAUUGCUGAAGACAUUCCAAGCCACUCUAACGAAGUGCACUGUCUGCCAGUCAUUCUGUUCUCCUUGGAAGACCAUCUGUUGCACUUCAAAUAUGUAAAGAACUGCUGGUGCCAACCAGGGACUGACUGGCACAGGUUUGAACUCUCCACUGCUUGAUAGAUCUGCUUCACAUGGACCAAUUACAACAAUUCCCACCUCUGGAGCUGAAGUCGAAGCCCUUGGUCUUCCCUUCAUACCUCAGGAGGCUUUAUUUCCCAGAUAGCUCCUACAGUAUUCAAAGGGCAAGUGAUAUCCAAGAUCCAAAAUUUGCCAAGCAUGGAUAUGAGUGUUCUCCAUCGUGUCUUCCUGCUCUGUAGGGCCGUACGUGGAAUUGGGAAAGGUGGUGGCUCCCAGUCAGGACAGCCUGGUAUUACUCCUUUGGGACCGGUGACUUCCCAACCUCUCUCCACGCGGGACGAUAAUCGCGCUAACGACGGCAGCGGCGCCGGAACUUCCGAGGUCUUGGUGUGGCCCUGGGCGGCCUUGGAGGAGCAUGUUUGGAGUGAAUCCUCCUCUUGCCAUGGUACUCAUGUGCAGCCACCAUGGAGAAAACCAUCUGUUCCCCUUGGAAGGGGGUUUGGUUCCCCAUGCCCUCCCCCGAUCCCGCUCCGUCCCCAGCUGCCGUGUUUCGACGAGCAGGGAACGAAUCCCCUGCGUUAAAAAUACUCUGGGUCUAUUUAGAUGAAAAGAACCUUGCUUGCCUACACUGACAUGCAAAAAUAGGCUCAGUGUGAGUAAAUCUUCAAACUUUCUUUUGGUGAAAA